rnacentral:tRNA from 1 species
GCUCCUGUGGUGAAAUGGAUAUCUUCGCUGCCUUCGAAGCAGUUGUUGGGGGUUCGACUCCCUCCGGGAGCA